rnacentral:rRNA from 1 species
GUGAACGCUGGCGGUAGGCCUAACACAUGCAAGUCGCACGGCAGCACAGUAAGAGCUUGCUCUUACGGGUGGCGAGUGGCGGACGGGUGAGGAAUACAUCGGAAUCUACUUUUUCGUGGGGGAUAACGUAGGGAAACUUACGCUAAUACCGCAUACGACCUACGGGUGAAAGCAGGGGAUCUUCGGACCUUGCGCGAUUGAAUGAGCCGAUGUCGGAUUAGCUAGUUGGCGGGGUAAAGGCCCACCAAGGCGACGAUCCGUAGCUGGUCUGAGAGGAUGAUCAGCCACACUGGAACUGAGACACGGUCCAGACUCCUACGGGAGGCAGCAGUGGGGAAUAUUGGACAAUGGGCGCAGGCCUGAUCCAGCCAUACCGCGUGGGUGAAGAAGGCCUUCGGGUUGUAAAGCCCUUUUGUUGGGAAAGAAAAGCAGCAGGUUAAUACCCCGCUGUUCUGACGGUACCCAAAGAAUAAGCACCGGCUAACUUCGUG